rnacentral:rRNA from 1 species
AAACGUAGGAGGCGAGCGUUAUUCGGAUUUACUGGGCGUAAAGCGCGUGCAGGCGGCUCUGUAAGUUGGAGGUUAAAUCUCCCGGCUCAACUGGGAGGCGUCCUUCAAAACUGCAGGGCUUGAGGAUGGGAGAGGGAAGUGGAAUUCCCGGUGUAGUGGUGGAAUGCGUAGAUAUCGGGAGGAACACCAGUGGCGAAGGCGGCUUCCUGGCCCAUACCUGACGCUAAGACGCGAAAGCGUGGGGAGCGAACGGGAUUAGAAACCCCAGUAGUCC